UUGCCUGUGGCUCAAGGAGUAGGGCACCAGUCCCAUAUACGGGAGGUGGCAGGUUCAAACCCGCCCAGCCAAA
rnacentral:tRNA from 1 species